GUGCUGGGGCUCAGUGGUAGAGCGCUUGCCUAGCAUAUGUGACACACUGGGUUCGAUUCUCAGCACCACA
rnacentral:tRNA from 1 species